rnacentral:rRNA from 1 species
GACGAACGCUGGCGGCGUGCUUAACACAUGCAAGUCGAACGGAAAGGCCCUGCUUUUGUGGGGUGCUCGAGUGGCGAACGGGUGAGUAACACGUGUGUAACCUGCCCUUGUCUUUGGGAUAACUUCAGGAAACUGGGGCUAAUACCGGAUAGGAGCUCCUGCUGCAUGGUGGGGGUUGGAAAGUUUCGGCGGUUGGGGAUGGACUCGCGGCUUAUCAGCUUGUUGGUGGGGUUGUGGGUUACCAAGGCUUUGACGGGUAGCCGGCCUGAGAGGGUGACCGGCCACAUUGGGACCGAGAGACGGCCCAGACUGCUACGGGAGGCAGCAGGGGGGAAUAUUGCAGGAGGGGCGGAAGCCUGAUGCAGCAACGCCGCGUGCGGGAUGACGGCCUUCGGGUUGUAAACCGCUUUCGCCUGUGACGAAGCGUGAGUGACGGUAAUGGGUAAAGAAGCACCGGCUAACUACGUG